GGAGCACAGCUCCACUAUAUACUUGCUUUUCACAUGAAAUCUGUUGCUACCAUAAUGGUGUUUUUCCUUUAAUUUUUUUUUAUUUCCCUAUAAAAAGUCUCCUGGGUAUUUUUCAUUUUCUCAAUAUGCAGCAAAUUAUAAUGGGGGAGAGAAAGAGCAUAUUUUGGCACUUAAUCUUGUGUAAAAGGAUCCAAAUAAUGCUUUCAGCUUUGUCAGUGUAAAUCCUGAUUAAUUCAAUCCUGGUCCAUCACAGUGGCAUAUAGUUUGUACAAGCAUUAGUGGGUCCAAGAAUAGUGACCAAAAUGUAACCCAGGGAUCUGUAAAGUGUUUUGAGGUAGUUCUGUUAAAGUAAAAUUCUACUUAGGGGCAAAAAUGUAUAUAAAAACGAUGGAAGAAGUGUAUAGCUUUCAAGCUUGGAAAAAAAAACUUAUAUACAGUCUUUGUUAUCCAGAGUACCCAGGAGAAAAGAACAAAUACUGUAGUCAUCUGACAGAAAUGCACAUGAAAUGGGAUGGGGAGAUGGAGCUGAGGCUACAAACUGACUGCAGAAUCACAAAACCGAAGUAAUUUCCACUAAGGGGAAAAGUAAAAUCACACUUUUGUCUGCAUUUGAGAUUUAUCUGCGCAAUUAAAUGAUCAUGUACAUAGCUCAGUACAAAAACAUUAAAUUAUAUAAUCCCAGUGGGAGGAACACUUUACAGUCUCUCCGAGUAUGUUGUCUUAUUAAAGGAGCCUGCAUAUCUAACACCAAGUCAACAUAUGUGGUAAAAAGUAGGUUUUGCCCUCGGAUCAGACAUGGGUAUCUCCCUCUCAGUUUUUUUCAACCAGUUUUUUUCUCUCCCUUCUCUUUCAGAGACCCUGCAAACGGCAGUGAAUUCCAGUAUAAAUGGAAUAUAAACAAAGUUCAUAUAUGGCAUAAACAUAUGAGAAUCACAGUGGGAUGGUAUUCAUAUAAUUUUAGUUAGAGUGAUGUUAUUCUAACUACGAGUGAAAGGCAUGUAGCAGACAAAGGUAUUUUAGACUUAAUGCUUCCUGUGUCAAUGCUUAAUUGUUCUGUAUAACUACAGUUAGCUUAAGAACCUGUCCUACUUAUUCACACUCUUACUCUCUGAGGUAUUUGGCAGAUAAAUAGGGCUGUUGACAAGAAAUAAUAAGCGACUGAGUUUUAUUUGCAAAUAUGCAUUGCAUGAACUAUUAUCUAAUACAGCACUGAACACAUAUGGUUCAGUAAUAAUUAGAAAAGGAUGUGAUAUGAGCAAAAAAGCUUUAUGCUUUAGAAGUGUUCUUUGAUUCCUUGUAAUGUAAGACACACCAGAGAUUUCAUUUCCUUAAGUUACACACUAAAAUGUAUGGAGAGUAACAUUUUAUCUUCUAAAUGCAUGAGUAUAUAUAUAAAAUUUCUUCAAUAUGAUUGCAGUGAUAAUUUUCUUUUCCCCUUAAGAGAUGGCAUUAGAUACAUUCUCAAAGAAUACCUUGUUAAUUGAACCGCCAUAUAAAACCACCAUCCUAUAUGAAUGUCAAAAAGCAGUAGUUUUGAGUGUGGAAAUUUGUCACUUAGGAAUGUCUAGACUGUAUAUUAGAUUUCCAUUAAGUCAAAGUGGGUUAGAAAAAAAGGUUUUAGAAAUUCAUAGUGGAAAUUAUUGAGCUUAACAUCAGUUUGCAGCACUACACUCUCAAGUAAUCAGUGCAAGUUCCAACAAAUAACAAUGCUGCUGUGACUUUCCCAGUAGACAGCACUGCUGGAGAUGCUUCCUACACUUAAUAGGUAAAUGGGUUUUCCUGGGAGCAAAACAAGGAGUCUGAUGUUUUGUCUCCCAGUAAAGAGCAUCAGUACAAGAUGAUUUUCAGCUUGGCUUCCUUGAACGUAACAGCUUGGGAUUGCACAUUGUAAACUACUGCUGCAAAAAGAAGUGCAGGAGUUUCCAUUUGAUAACCUGGGUUCGUUGAUCCCCUUGCUUUGCUAGUGUAAAGAAGCCUUUGAAUCUGCUUGUGCAGUUAGAAGUAGGCAUUAGCAUCUAGGCAGAGCUGUCAGUUCACGCUUUAGUUGUGAGAAGAUAGACAUAAGUCUUUGGAAGCUGAAUAAGACGAGUGAAUGUACAGGGGCAUGCUUGCGUGCACCCUGAUGCUUUUCAUUGUCUCUAAAGUCAAUCUUCAGAUGAACUGAGUAAAGAUUCUCCUACAAUGGCAAGUUCUGCCAGGCCUGUACUUUUCUUUGGAAGUUUUUCGUUCCAAAGCAGGUUUUCUCCAUGUGAGAAGGAAAAUGAGAAAGCAGUGCAGCGUCAGAGUCGUUUUAACUCCUUGAUGUCCUCCACUGCCUCCACCUCGGCCACAAAGAUGCCCCUGUUCUGCUGGCGUGGCAGGUGCUGAGCCCUGGGCUGAGCACUGCAGCCCUUCAUCUGCAGGAGCAGAACACUCCCCGCGCUGAGCUCCUUGGACAUGUGUAUUGGCAGCUGUUAAGGGGCAGACACAAGGUCCUUUAACAACUGCACAUAAUUCAGAUGACUUCUCUGGAAAUGCUAAUGUAUAAAUGAACGAAUUCACUUUUAGACAAUUGAUAAUUCAAUUAAAAUGUAAGAGAGAGUAAAUAGUAUGUGCUUAUAUGCACGCCUUGCAUUUGCUUUCUUAAUAAGAUGAACUUCUUGCCAUUUCAGUGAAACUCAAAUACUUACAUUACCAUUCUAAUGCCUGGUUUGUGUGUAUGGUCACAUUUCAGUAAUGACAAAGACAGCGCAGUGUAGCAACUGUCAUGUUAUCUAGUACUAUGAAGACAAGUAGCUGUAAAGAAUAUGAAAAUAGGGAAAUAUUAUUCCCAAGUGCAGAGUGUGCUGGGGAAGAGGGAGACAGGAGAAGGAUGGUGUUUCAUCUAAAAUACAUGCCUGAUUCAACAAGGUAACUAAAUAUAAAUACAAAACACUGAUUUCAGUGAAAAUAGCAAAGGGCAUCAUCAGCUCUAUUUCACCCUAGGUUUAUACUGUAUACAGUUUCUCUAGUGACCUAAAACCUUUCUUCAACUAAAAUUUCCAUUGAAAUCAUGUGCUUUAAAAUAAAUACAUUUAACUUCCUGUGUACUCAUAAACACAAAAUUUCACAGUUAACCACUGAAAAAUGCAAAAGGCCAAAGAAAGGUUGAAGUAUCUCCACUGGUAAAAAUUUCAGCCCAGAUUAAAUCUGUGGGAAACUGAGUCACUAUGAAGAAUAGGCUUGGGUAGGAUAGGGUGUACAAAUAAAAUAACAAUGUAAUGCGAGGUUUUGACAACAAAUCCAUCAGAAGAAACAGGAAGAAACCAUAGUUUUAAAGUCAUGCUGUGUUAAUUUGAGAGCAGUACUAAGGAAAUCAAAAUUCACCAGUUAACUCUCCCUGAAGUGAUGAUGGCUAGGACGUAUAGAUGAACUUUAGAGAGCAACUGCUGUUACCUACCUAAGUUCCAGGAAGGGAGAUCAUAAAAUGAAGUUCUGUUUGGUGAUACUCGCCUUAACGUGGGACAGGGCAUUAGCAAUACCAUUUUCUUUAACACCUUUUCUUCCCCAUCCUCAGUGGUUGGUACUGUUCCAGCAAGGAAAUCCUGCUGGUUUGCAGAAUAGUAGCAGCAGAACUCGUGAUAGUUACUGAAUAUGAUGGACUAGAAGCUGGUUCAUUUUUGGUGACUUCUGUAUCUGGGCUUUGUAAAUAUUCACUUCCCACACCUAUUUCCUAAUAACACCAUUGAUCUAUUGGUCAAAAGAACUGAAUUGUGCAUCAGAGCUUUCCCACUACCUGGUAAGUUUUUUAAUUACCCUUUAUCUUCCAUUUUCUGUUCCCAUAAAAUGGAAGCUACAUGUCCAAGCUCCUACCCCACCCCAAAUGGCCACUGAAUUUGAAGCAAAGAGAUUUUUAUAUAUCUGAAAUAGUUUAUCAUUUUACCUUCUGACUAAUUUUAGUUAAAACCAUGGAUUUUUUCAUUCUGAGUGAAUGAAUAUUAAUAGCCUCUCAGAACAGAUUCCAUAGUUGAGUUGAACAAGAGCAAUACUGAAAGUCAUCUGAGUUUUUGUCAUGAUGAAUAACACAGAGAUUCCCUUGAGCAGAAUUCUGGAGAAGACUGACAUCUCUUCUCAGUUAAGUGUAGAAUAUGCUUAGUUUUUUGGAGAAUCCUUGGCUCUGAUUUUUGAGAAACUGGGAUAAUUCAGUGCAGCAAAAAUAAAUCUUUUCUUUCUAAUCAGGACUUACUUUUUCAUUUUUUUCCUAUUCCCUAGUUGAAAUUUCCUGUGUUUUGUAACCAUUUAACAUUGUGUUACUAACCAUCCAUUAUGUCCUGCUUUAUUCUCUUUUAGAUGAAAGAGCCAUAUAAAAAGAGAAUUCACCAACCCCUAUGACUGAAUUUGAGCGAUAAUGUCAAUGGAAUUAACACAUUGCCAUUGUUGAAUGGUCUCCUGUGGCUAUAUAAACAUCAAGGCUCAUUGUCACCGUCUCACCUAAUGCAGGAGACAAGCAGCUGAUGUGGAUGUUGCAUAGGAACCGUAAUUUCUUGUGUCACAAAACCACUGACAAUGGCUGCAUUACAGAAGCCAGAGCUGGUCAGUUAGGGCAUGCACAGGAUCUCCUGAACCAGUAAGAGACAGCUCUUCAGAAGAAUGGGAGUUAUGGAGCUCU